rnacentral:rRNA from 1 species
UGAGGAAUAUUGGUCAAUGGGCGAGAGCCUGAACCAGCCAAGUAGCGUGCAGGAUGACGGCCCUAUGGGUUGUAAACUGCUUUUGUAUGGGGAUAAAGUCAAUCACGUGUGAUUGUUUGCAGGUACCAUACGAAUAAGGACCGGCUAAUUCCGUGCCAGCAGCCGCGGUAAUACGGAAGGUCCGGGCGUUAUCCGGAUUUAUUGGGUUUAAAGGGAGCGUAGGCUGGAGAUUAAGUGUGUUGUGAAAUGUAGACGCUCAACGUCUGACUUGCAGCGCAUACUGGUUUCCUUGAGUACGCACAACGUUGGCGGAAUUCGUCGUGUAGCGGUGAAAUGCUUAGAUAUGACGAAGAACUCCGAUUGCGAAGGCAGCUGACGGGAGCGCAACUGACGCUGAAGCUCGAAGGUGCGGGUAUCGAACAGGAUUAGAUACCCUGGUAGUCCGCACAGUAAACGAUGGAUGCCCGCUGUUGGUACGUGGUAUCAGCGGCUAAGCGAGAGCAUUAAGCAUCCCACCUGGGGAGUACGCCGGCAACGGUG